rnacentral:lncRNA from 10 species
UCGGAAUCAGAUGAGUCCAUGAACUGGCAGCAGUCAGGGCAGUGAUGACAUCACAGAAGGAGGAUGGGCCUUAGACAGACAUCACUCUUUAGAAUCCCUGCAACUUUGAGCAAGUUCGUGAAUCUCACUAAGGCUCAGUUUCCUCCAUAAAAUUAAUCAAUAUCAGGGCCUCUGCAUUGGACAACUCCAGAGGGCACCAUUGGGGUUAUACCUUGUGUUUGCCUAACCUUCAUUGCAGUGGGCAGGUGCAUGCUUUCUACAAUGUCCUAAGGUCUAAAGGGGUAGAGUUCUGUGUGUGGCAUUUUAGGCCUGGAAAGGAUGAGAGUCUACAAAACCAGAGAAAUACUGCAGCAAAUGGUCAAACCCAGGAGGGAAUGGUAUGAACCUCUGGUUUACAGCCAUUGGUAAGAAGCACACAUGACAACCUGGACUUUCCAUCAACAUUUGAAGCGGGAGCAGUCUUGUGGGAUCAAGCUCUUAACCUGUGGGGUCUGCUACUAACUCUGAGAUCCCAGACCACCACCCAUGAUCCCAGGCUGGAGGAAGCAGCAGGCUAGCGGAAUUCAGGACCAAUGAGCCAGGAAAGAGGACCCAAUGCAGAGCUCACAUCCCACCCUCCUUCCCCCAUGACAAAGCACUGGCAAACCCUGCCAAAGAAGAAGCUUGGCUGCAAAGCAGUCUGGAACUGGACCCGGGAUAGAUUCACCAGGAGCUCACCACCACAGGGAAUGCUGCACUUUGACUGGACAGAAUGCAUCCUCCAUGCCCACAGAGCAUGUGCCCAGGAUGAAUCUCACUGUAUCCCAGUUCCUCAUGCUUGGCCCCAAACCUCUUUUUCACAGUAAUAAAGAAAACACACUUUACAAAAAGGCAGUUCAUCUAUGAACAUAUUGGCUAGGAUAACACAUCUUAGAGCUAAAUGUGUCACUGUAAAUGGACUCAUUUUAUAUCUCCACAUACUGUAGAUGUUUAAAAAAAGGUACAUGCACAGAAACUAUGGGAACUGAACUGGAGUAUGAGCCAAUUACCCUAGACUUUGCUGUAAUCUGACUUUUGUGUAGCACAUUUUCUUUAGCAUUUUUCUUAAUGGGGGAUGGGGAGUGGAGGCAAAGGAGACAAACUGACAGCAGAGCAUUUUAUUUAGACAAAAGAAAUAUAUUCAGCCUGUCUUAAAUUAUUUGUCAUUAUAAUGACGUUUUCUAAUUUAAAAGUAUUUUGCUUAAUAAUAUAUAAUUGAAUAUUAUAUGCAAUUAAUCAUAUCAUCAUAGCUCUUUAAAGAUUUAUCUCUCAAUAUCUAAUUAAUUACGAGGUCUUGUUUCUUC